UUCCUUCCUUGGGUUAUGUCUUGAAGACCAAAACAAGAAGACAGAGCAAAUCAUUAAAAGCAGAGGCCAUAGGAGACAAACGGUCGUCCACUAUCUCAGACGAUGAUUUAGUUCUCAAAAGCUUUUUCGCCGAAGUUAGCAAAGUCGAGAGGGAUAACGAAGUCUUGAGGAUCCUUUCAUGUUUCAAGUUAAAUCCAUUUGAGCAUCUAAAUCUACCCUUUGAUGCAACCCCAGAAGAAGUGAGGAAGCAGUAUCGUAAGCUCUCUUUGCUGGUUCACCCCGAUAAGUGCAAGCAUAUUCAAGCAAAAGAAGCGUUU